ACAUCUACCUGGCAGGAGAGAUACCAGGAUCAAGAAGAUGGUUUUCCGAAAGUGAGGCUUGUCCAUUGCACUCCAGAUGUGCUGACCUCUUCAAUUUCCCCAAAUUCGAGAAAUAGCAUAAUUUGUGGUAGUAGGGGGCUGCAUUUGUGUUCUCUUCUG
ensembl:snRNA U1 U1 spliceosomal RNA